GACCUCGCUCUAAGUGGUGAGCGGGAAGAGCUGAGUGGAGCUGAUAGG
rnacentral:ncRNA from 1 species